rnacentral:lncRNA from 1 species
CGCUCCUCCCACCCACAGGCCCAUUCCACUUCCACUUCCGCUUCCGCUUCCGGAGAGAAGAGCCAAGGUGGGUUUAGAAAAGGGCCAGAGCUGUAACCUUAGGCCUGGACAAAGGCCACUCAGGCUGCUGCUGAAGGGCAGGGUUCUGAUGCCAUCCCAACUCCAAAGAGGAGGGAGUGAGCUCGGGUCCUUGGCAGACGCAUUAUUCAUGCCUCCGGUCCCCUCUGUCAGGCCAAUCCAGACUUGACAAAGAUAAAAGGCGCGGCACACGCGUCACUGCACCGUUCGCACCGGCUGCCUUUCCAACAUUUACAGCGUUCACUCACAAGCAGGAGCAUGCUGGUCUGUGUAUUAAUUGCUAUUUAGUAGAGACAGAAUUUGAGGACCCUCAUCUGGGCUUCUGGAUCCUCAGUUACUUGGUGUUCAAUACCUGCUUACUUCUUACUGCUCCUGCCCUGGGAAGGUCAUGGUCACUGUACAGUCCUAUUUAGAUGGAGUCCUAUGAAGAACCAGCAUAAUCAUGGCCUAACUGGUAUGUUAAUGUAACUGUGAAGUCAGCUUUCUGUUACUGUAACAAAUAUCUGAGAUAAGCAACUUACACAGAGAAAAUGUUUAUUUUGGCUCAGUCCAUGAUUGGUUGUUGUUAGGUAAAAAGAGCCCCAAACCAGGACCAGAACAGGACCAUAACAAGCCUUUAUUAUGGGGAGGGUCUGCCGGGCUGUCUCUGAACAAAGGAGAGAGAGCCAUAUGGCUGAGACAGGGAGCGCUUCUCAUAGGACUGGAGUGGGGCUCAUAGGAGCUGGGGUGGGAUUGAGUGAUGGAGUUCCUGGGGAUUGGGGGAGCCUGUGACAUCACUAGGAGGGGCUUGUGCCAUCACUAGUUACGGCCAUCUUAAGGAGAGGGAAAUUAACAGUUGGUACCAUUGCUUCAGGCCUGUGAUAGCACUGUACUUUGUGGUUAGAGUAUGUGACAGCGAAUGAUUCACUUCAGGGCCCGAAAGUGGAAGAGAAAAAUAAAGAGUUUGGAGUUCCACAAUCCCCUCUGAGAGCCUCCAGUGCCCUAGAGACCUCUCGCUAAGCCCCUCCUCUUAAAAGUUUCCACCACUUCCCAAAAGAGCCAAGUUGAGCAUUUGAAGCCACUGAAGACCCA